GUCAGUGGUUGCCUCUAAGAAGGUGGGAGUGAAGAUUGACUAGAAAGUGCCAUGAGGAAGCUUUUUGGCUGAUGAUAACAUUCUGUGUCUGGAAAUGGAUUUGGAUUAUGUAACCAACUAAAAUUGGAUUUUUGCUUAAUCAACCAGCCUAAUUAAGGCUUCUGUUCAGAUCUUUGGAUGACAAGGCAGAGUGUGGCUUCAAUCAAAUUGCUGGUUGACUCUUCCAUGGGCCUAAAUCAUACCCGGUCAGAAGUGCCAACCACUCUUCUGCUUAAGACCCUCCUAUGACCUUCUAUGGCAACAAGAGGGAAACUGGAAACUUCAUAAGGUCUGCCCUCACCUCUACUUGGCCUGUGCUCCAAGAUCCUUUUCGUUUGCAUUAUUCCUUGCUACUACUGAGCUCAAACUACGAGUCAGGCAUGGAGCUGAGCACUGAAAUGCAAGGAUGAAAAAGGAGUGAUCUUUAUUCUCAGUGUGCUGAUGAAGCCAGAUGUAAUACAUGGAUGCCUCUGACAGACUCGUUCAGGGACAUGAUAGAAGUGUGCAUGGUAUGGAAUGGGGCUUCGGAAAGUUUCCUGGAGAGCAAAACAUCUGAGCUGAUACUU